GACGAACGCUGGCGGCGUGCCUAAUACAUGCAAGUAGAACGCUGAAGGAGGAGCUUGCUUCUCCGGAUGAGUUGCGAACGGGUGAGUAACGCGUAGGUAACCUGCCUGGUAGCGGGGGAUAACUAUUGGAAACGAUAGCUAAUACCGCAUAAGAGUAGAUGUUGCAUGACAUUUGCUUAAAAGGUGCAAUUGCAUCACUACCAGAUGGACCUGCGUUGUAUUAGCUAGUUGGUGGGGUAACGGCUCACCAAGGCGACGAUACAUAGCCGACCUGAGAGGGUGAUCGGCCACACUGGGACUGAGACACGGCCCAGACUCCUACGGGAGGCAGCAGUAGGGAAUCUUCGGCAAUGGACGGAAGUCUGACCGAGCAACGCCGCGUGAGUGAAGAAGGUUUUCGGAUCGUAAAGCUCUGUUGUAAGAGAAGAACGAGUGUGAGAGUGGAAAGUUCACACUGGACG
rnacentral:rRNA from 1 species